UACGUAGGGUGCAAGCGUUGUCCGGAAUUAUUGGGCGUAAAGAGCUCGUAGGCGGUUUGUCGCGUCUGCUGUGAAUACGCGAGGCUCAACCUCGCGCCUGCAGUGGGUACGGGCAGACUAGAGUGCGGUAGGGGAGAUUGGAAUUCCUGGUGUAGCGGUGGAAUGCGCGGAUAUCAGGAGGAACACCGGUGGCGAAGGCGGGUCUCUGGGCAGUAACUGACGCUGAGGAGCGAAAGCGUGGGGAGCGAACAGG
rnacentral:rRNA from 1 species